rnacentral:rRNA from 1 species
GAUUAACAAGGUUUCCGUAGGUGAACCUGCGGAAGGAUCAUUGUCGUGACCCUGACCAAAACCGACCGCGAACGCGUCACCCCUGCCGCCGGGCGCGGCCACGCGCCCGGCACCGAGGCCCCCGGGCCGCAACAGAACCCACGGCGCCGACGGCGUCAAGGAACACGGACACACGCCCACGCCUCCCGGACGGCCCUGGCCGGCCGGCGGCGCGGCGCGACACAACCCAACCACGAGUUGGUCAAAUUCCACACGACUCUCGGCAACGGAUAUCUUGGCUCUCGCAUCGAUGAAGAACGUAGCGAAAUGCGAUACCUGGUGUGAAUUGCAGAAUCCCGUGAACCAUCGAGUCUUUGAACGCAAGUUGCGCCCGAGGCCAUCCGGUCGAGGGCACGCCUGCCUGGGCGUCACGCCAAAAGACGCUCCACGCCCCCCCACCCAGGAGGGGGCGUGGACGCGGUGUCUGGCCCCCCGCGCCGCGAGGCACGGCGGGCCGAAGCUCGGGCUGCCGGCGAAGCGUGCCGGGCACAGCGCAUGGUGGACGGCUCACAACGCCGGCUCUAGGUCGCAGUGCAUCCCGGCGCGCGGCCGGCGCGAUGGCCCCCCGAGGACCCAAGACGCACCGAGGACGUGGCUCGGACCGCGACCCCAGGUCAGGCGGGACUACCCGCUGAGUUUAAGCAUAUCAAUAAGCGGAAGGA